ACUUGGAUAGCUUAAUGAGAGCAUGAUAUUGAAGAUAUUAAGGUAGUAUAAUUACUUUCAAGUA
rnacentral:tRNA from 1 species